CCCGGAAGCUAUAGGCUCGCUCAGUUGAUGAGGCUCACGUCUGCAGGGAAACCCUGCUUCUGUUGAUGCUUCAGUAGCCUUAAUUGUCUUCGCCAUUCAAGGUAGUUUGUGUUACUGUGGCUCUAUAAGAUCAAGAAGUAAAUACGAACCAACAGAAGUGACAACCUCGGGAAAACGUUAUUACUUGGAAAUAGAGCCAAAAAUACCUUUGCCUGACUCCUGAGAUUAGAUCUGAAGGGACAAUGUUUUGAUAAGAAAAAUGGCAAGAUGCAGAGAGACAGAGAGAAGGUACAAAGAAAGAAAGCCACCCAGAAUAGAGUGGCAAAGGAGGUUGAAGAAGUGAGAUUCAAAAAUAAUUUUCUUUUCCAUACUGAUAUAUAGCUACUGAUAUAGGGUAGCUAAGAAAACUUACAGAGAUUUCAAGGAAAACACCAUCUCUGGGAAAGUUUUUCUUUGAUCAUUUGACCGCUUUUGAAUAAAAAUCCCCGGACACCAGCAACUCAAAAGUUCAGAAGAUCAAAACCUGACAGGGAUCAAAAUUUCAAUCGAUACUCAAAGAAAAGUUUACAGAUAGGGGACUGGGUCAAAACAAAGAAUACAAAAUGUGCAGUCACUAGCUUAAGACUCUGGCCUUACACUCUUAACUACCAGGAGGUUUGUUGCCUGUUGAGAGUCCUUGAUGGGGACAGGACAGACUCUGUUCUGUUUCCUGUUACCAGGCUCAUAAAAACCGGACUGGGUAUACAUUCCUAAUACCCACUUCACUUAGCACCUGAAGUCAGUACAGGUCAGCUAUGCUACCUCCUUAGAAGAGACUUUUCUACGUGCCCAAGAUCAUAUAUUUUACUGUUUGACUUGGAGGAAAGGUGUUAUGCCUAUGGUGUGAAGUCAGAAGACUGAGUGAGGUGACACAUGCCACUGCAGUUAAAAUACGUGCUGAAGACAAAUCCUCUUCCUGUUUAUCAUACCUCUCUGAACUGUUUAUUGGAUUUCAGAACACAGCUCUCUCCACCCCAACCCAGUAAAGAGACCUGCAGCAGGUGAGUUAGAACCUCAAAUGAGAAAGCCGAAGAGUCAACUGAAAGACCAGGAAAUACUUGAUUGCUAGCAUGCAUCUCCCUAAAUUGGAAUACAGCCACAAACCCUCGGGGCGAAAUCCCCAACCCCCACAGCAGCAGCCGGACAGCAUCUGGGACUGUUUGAACUUUUCCAAUGUCUGGCAGGCUGAGGAAUGAAGAGAAGUGUGAACUAGCAGAAGCUGGUCAGAG
ensembl:lncRNA LOC120096262 uncharacterized LOC120096262